rnacentral:tRNA from 1 species
GGGGAUGCGACGGGCUGAUCUGUGGAUGGAUUCUGUCUCAGCUUCGCGACCCGUUAUGAUGGCUAAGCGCGUCCGAUCGCAUCGGACGCCUGGAGACGUCGCAUAGUCAGGCCUAGUGCACCACCCUGCUAAGGUGGAGUCCUCGCAAGGGGACCGAGGGUUCAAAUCCCUCCGUCUCCGC